rnacentral:rRNA from 2 species
AAAUUGAAGAGUUUGAUCAUGGCUCAGAUUGAACGCUGGCGGCAGGCCUAACACAUGCAAGUCGAACGGUAACAGGAAGAAGCUUGCUUCUUUGCUGACGAGUGGCGGACGGGUGAGUAAUGUCUGGGAAACUGCCUGAUGGAGGGGGAUAACUACUGGAAACGGUAGCUAAUACCGCAUAACGUCGCAAGACCAAAGAGGGGGACCUUCGGGCCUCUUGCCAUCGGAUGUGCCCAGAUGGGAUUAGCU